GCCGAGGUGGUGGAACUGGCAGACACGCUAGGUUGAGGGCCUAGUGCCCAACUUUCGGGCGUGCGGGUUCAAAUCCCGCCCUCGGCACCA
rnacentral:tRNA from 1 species